rnacentral:rRNA from 1 species
GACGAACCGUGCGAACGUUAUUCGGAAUCACUGGGCUUAAAGCGCGUGUAGGCGGGACGGCACGUCGGUCGCUGAAAGCCCCCGGCUCAACCGGGGAACGGGCGCCGAUACGACCGCCCUGGAGGAACGUAGGGGGACCUGGGAACUUCCGGUGGAGCGGUGAAAUGCGUUGAGAUCGGAAGGAACGCCCGUGGCGAAAGCGAGGUCCUGGACGUUUUACUGAACGCUGAGGACGCGAAAA